rnacentral:rRNA from 1 species
UACGGAGGGGGCUAGCGUUGUUCGGAAUUACUGGGCGUAAAGCGCACGUAGGCGGCUUUGUAAGUUAGAGGUGAAAGCCCGGGGCUCAACUCCGGAACUGCCUUUAAGACUGCAUCGCUAGAAUUGUGGAGAGGUAAGUGGAAUUCCGAGUGUAGAGGUGAAAUUCGUAGAUAUUCGGAAGAACACCAGUGGCGAAGGCGACUUACUGGACACAUAUUGACGCUGAGGUGCGAAAGCGUGGGGAGCAACAGG